rnacentral:rRNA from 1 species
CCUACGGGCGGCAGCAGUGAGGAAUAUUGGUCAAUGGACGAGAGUCUGAACCAGCCAAGUAGCGUGAAGGAUGACUGCCCUAUGGGUUGUAAACUUCUUUUAUAAAGGAAUAAAACGAGGCACGUGUGCCUUUUUGCAUGUACUUUAUGAAUAAGGAUAGGCUAACUCCGUGCCAGCAGCCGCGGUAAUACGGAGGAUCCGAGCUUUAUCCGGAUUUAUUGGGUUUAAAGGGAGCGUAGAGGGGUUGUUAAGUCAGUUGUGAAAGUUUGCGGCUCAACCGUAAAAUUGCCAUUGUUACUGGCAGUCUUUAGUACAGUUGAGGUAGGCGCAAUUCGUGUUGUAGCGGUGACAUGCUUAGAUAUCACG